rnacentral:rRNA from 1 species
UACGUAGGGUGCAAGCGUUGUCCGGAAUUAUUGGGCGUAAAGAGCUCGUAGGCGGCUUGUCGCGUCGGCUGUGAAAACCUGGGGCUCAACCCCGGGCCUGCAGCCGAUACGGGCAGACUAGAGUUCGGUAGGGGAGUCUGGAAUUCCUGGUGUAGCGGUGAAAUGCGCAGAUAUCAGGAGGAACACCGGUGGCGAAGGCGGGACUCUGGGCCGAUACUGACGCUGAGGAGCGAAAGCGUGGGGAGCAAACAGG